ACCCCCUCCAUCCCAAAAUAAGUGCAGUUUUGCACUGUUCAUAUGGCAUGUUUGACCAUUUAUCUUAUUUGAAUUUUUUAUUAGUAUUUUUAUUGUUAUUAGAUGAUAAAGCAUAAAUAGUUCUUUGUGUGUGACUAAUUUUUUUAAUUUUUUCAUAUUUUUUUAAUAAGACGAACAAUCAAACGUUGGACACGGAUUUUCAUGGCUGCACUUAUUUUGGGACGGAAGUA
rnacentral:pre_miRNA from 1 species